rnacentral:rRNA from 1 species
GACCUGAGAGGGUGAUCGGCCACACUGGGACUGAGACACGGCCCAGACUCCUACGGGAGGCAGCAGUAGGGAAUCUUCCGCAAUGGACGAAAGUCUGACGGAGCAACGCCGCGUGAGUGAAGAAGGCCUUCGGGUUGUAAAGCUCUUUCGCAAGGGAAGAAACGAUAUAGGUUAAUAGCCUAUGUUAAUGACGGUACCUUGACAAGAAGCACCGGCUAACUACGUGCCAGCAGCCGCGGUAAUACGUAGGUGGCAAGCGUUGUCCGGAAUUAUUGGGCGUAAAGAGCUUGUAGGCGGCUUGUUGCGUCUGCUGUGAAA